AUUGAACGCUGGCGGCAGGCCUAACACAUGCAAGUCGAGCGGAUGAAGGGAGCUUGCUCCUGGAUUCAGCGGCGGACGGGUGAGUAAUGCCUAGGAAUCUACCUGGUAGUGGGGGAUAACGUCCGGAAACGGGCGCUAAUACCGCAUACGUCCUGAUGGAGAAAGUGGGGGAUCUUCGGACCUCACGCUAUCAGAUGAGCCUAGGUCGGAUUAGCUAGUUGGUGUGGUAACGGCCUACCAAGGCGACGAUCCGUAACUGGUCUGAGAGGAUGAUCAGUCACACUGGAACUGAGACACGGUCCAGACUCCUACGGGAGGCAGCAGUGGGGAAUCUUGGACAAUGGGCGAAAGCCUGAUCCAGCCAUGCCGCGUGUGUGAAGAAGGUCUUCGGAUUGUAAAGCACUUUAAGUUGGGAGGAAGGGCAGUAAGUGAAUACCUUGCUGUCUUGACGUUACCAACAGAAUAAGCAACGGCUAACUUCGUG
rnacentral:rRNA from 1 species